rnacentral:rRNA from 1 species
UACGUAGGGGGCAAGCGUUGUCCGGAUUUAUUGGGCGUAAAGAGCGUGUAGGCGGCCAGAUAGGUCAGCUGUGAAAACUCGAGGCUCAACCUCGAGAUGUCGGCUGAAACCAUCUGGCUAGAGUCCGGAAGAGGAGAAUGGAAUUCCCGGUGUAGCGGUGAAAUGCGCAGAUAUCAGGAAGAACACCCGUGGCGAAAGCGGCUCUCUGGAACGGUACUGACGCUGAGACGCGAAAGCGUGGGGAGCGAACAGG